ACGGCAUGGCAGCAGCGAGCGACGACCUUAACGGUGAGCGGGCCACGGCCCACGGGUACUAAUCGCUCUGCUUCUUUUUCUUCAGGUUGGGGGUCGAGGGAGUGGCAGCAACCUGCAAAAGAAGAGCUCUCGAUUCGAGUCAGAGUCACCGGGGAUCCGAAACCGUUGGCGUCCAACAGACGGAGUACUCGAUAUGUUGCGUCAAACUAUGAUGGAAGCGAUGAUGAAUCUUGCAUUCGAGUCUACAACAAGAGGAAGAUGAAGGACAUAGCAGCGAAGCUUGUAUCGAUCGGGAUCGUGAAGUCGCCCAUAACUCAUCCGUUGAAGGUACCACAUGCAGAGGAGUAUCUUCCUUCGAAUCUUGGAGAGGUUGGGUGGACAUUUUCUCUAUUUUACUAUUAGAUUGAAUGCACUCAACCAUAACGGUUUCUUCCCAUAAAAAAAUGCAAUGCUGCCAUGCGCAUGCUCGUAUAAAGUAGUGUUGCCGACUCCAUUGAUAAGUAUUUAAAAAUAGAGAAAAGCUCGGUAUUAUAAUGCCUUGAACAUUUAUGUAGGGGUUUCAUUUCAUAUUUUGGUGAUGAGUAUAGUAGUUGUCCUAGUAUUGACGAUCUUAGAUGUCUUUUAGCAAAGGGGGAGAGAGAGUUUCUUAGUAUAUAAAUUGCAUGUAUUAAAAGUGAGGGAACUAUCCCGUUGGAUGGAAAAGACAAAUUACUAGGGGUGACAUUAGAUCUA